CUUUCCCCGAAUCCUAUGCUUAGGUUCUUAAGAGGGACUUUUACUCCCAAAUGACUCAACCACCAUUUACUUUCAUCCCCUCUCGACACUCCUUCACAUGGAUCUUGGAACUUUAGUUACCCCCAAAAUUAAACAUUUCCUCUGGCUUUGCGGCCAUCAUCGCCUUCCUACUGCUGUAUAUUAUCAUUAUAUAGGCAUACUAAACAUAAAUGUUUGUGCUCGAUGCCGCCAGUCCAGAAACAAUUAGACAUCGCCUAGCAAACACACCAAUUUGGACUAACCUAGGCAUGCUUCCGAACCUUACUGGGCUGCAGGGGAUUGAUGACACCCCUGUUUAAUGGCUAAACUAACUUAUCUUACAUAUUGAUAUCCAAAUAUCCUGAACAUCCCAACUUCUAUACUCACGCCGUUCCGUCUCUGGCAUAUUUGGUUAGGUUGAAAUGCCAUUCUUUUUUGCUCAAGGUAAAAACCGUUUAUGCCUCCCAUAUCCUUAACUUGGUAGUAGUAGGAACACUAGUAGUAGGAGGAGGAAAAGCAGUAGGAGCAGCAAUAGUAGUAGCAUCAGCAGCAGAAGUAGUAGUAAUAGCAGCAGUAGCAGCAACAACAACAACAACAACAACAACAAUACUAGUAGGAGGAGGAGCAGUAGCAGCAGCAACAGCAGUAGCAACAACAACAACAUAAGCAGUAACAGCAACAGCAGAAGCAGUAGCAAUAGCAGUAGUAAUAGAAGCAGUAGUAGCAGCAAUAAAAGCAGUAGCAGCAGUAACUGUAGUAGUAGUGAUUCCCUUCUUGCACCGAAAAAAGGUUUUUUUUCCCUUUACUGUGCAUGCUUCAAAAUUUUAAUGAUCACUAAACAAUUUAUUUCUA
rnacentral:lncRNA from 1 species